rnacentral:lncRNA from 1 species
GUGGACUCUAGGGGUUCUGCUAAUUGAGUUAAGGAAGCAAACUGUAUCAUUAUCAAUUGCUUUCUAGAUGGUUCUGCAACACGUUUGGAACAAAAUAAAAAUAUCUUCAUUUUGAAAUUCCAUUGGACUCGACUGGAGUAAUGUAUUAUAGGAAUCAGCCUCUUUCAAUCAAAGAACUAUUUCAACGAUUCCCAUGUUUGUAGUUCGAAAGGAAAAGGAUCCCAGGAAAUUUAUUCGAACCUAAUUCUUACUAAAUUUUCUAUUCCAAUCAAUGGCCUCUUCCUAGGUGAUACUGAGGAGGGCCGGACCCGUUUUUUAUUUGGUUCUCUCUUUACUGUUCAAAGAAAAAGUGGUUUUGUUAAGUGUAUAAGCACUUUGUAUGAGAAAGAAAGGAUAUAAACAUAGUGGUUGUCUAACGAGAUACUAUGCAGAAUAAGAUCUUCAGGUGAGUCACAUAAUUUUCUAUUCCAAUCAAUGGCCUCUUCCUAGGUGAUACUGAGGAGGGCCGGACCCGUUUUUUAUUUGGUUCUCUCUUUACUGUUCAAAGAAAAAGUGGUUUUGUUAAGUGUAUAAGCACUUUGUAUGAGAAAGAAAGGAUAUAAACAUAGUGGUUGUCUAACGAGAUACUAUUUAGAAUAAGAUCGUCAGGUGAGUCACAUAUUGCGCAUUUACCUUUCGAAUUUUGGAAAUUGGAUUUAGACUUUAUCGACUUAUUUCAUAUCAUGGUUCAGGCCUUAAAAAUCAGUGAGGUUUACUCUUCCUUUUCGAUGCCCGUGGAACUACUGUCAAUGGUUUACUCAAUUACUUCUUGGGAAUGUUAAAAAAAAAGAUUACUACGACCUUUCGAAUUUUGGAAAUUGGAUUUAGACUUUAUCGACUUAUUUCAUAUCAUGGUUCAGGCCUUAAAAAUCAGUGAGGUUUACUCUUCCUUUUCGAUGCCCGUGGAACUACUGUCAAUGGUUUACUU